AUUUAAAUAGUUUAAAAAAAAUAUUGAUUUGUGGAAUCAAAGUUAUAAUUACUUAUUUUAAAUA
rnacentral:tRNA from 1 species